AAGAGUAUAUCUUUCCAAAAAUCAUUUGAAUAGUCUGGAUAUUAUUGAUGAUGCAUCUCUACCAACCUUACAAUUUCUAGAUCUCAGUUUUAACCAAAUGAAAGGAUCACUACCACUAUUUGAGAAGACUAAACUUGCCUCAUUAAAAUCACUACAUCUCUCCCACAAUCAGUUGAGUGGUGUGAAUAUCAUUGAUGAUGCAUCUCUACCAACAAUACAAUUUCUAGAUCUCAGUUUUAACCAAAUCAAUGGAUCAUUACCACUAUUUGAGAUUACUAAACUUUCCUCAUUAAAAAGAAUUGAUAUCUCCCAUAAUCAGUUGAGCGGGCCGUUUCCACAUACAAUUGGCCAACUUUUUGG
rnacentral:lncRNA from 1 species